ensembl:lncRNA
AGAUGAGAAUAGUGGGAGAGUUUUGACUUGAGGUCAUCAGAAGAAAAGGGCAGCGACUCCCAUCCCGGCACAGAAGCGCGUGUGGUUCCUGCCAAGCCAGGGAUGAGCUUUGCAGCAGGCGAGGAGGGUGACGGCGGCGCUGAGGAUGGAAAUAAACCAAACCUGCCAGGGAUACAUGCAGGUGAUGCUCAACACCUCCACUGCCAGAGCACAGAGACAUUGGAGAUAUGGUGGAACCGAAAGACCAAUGGUGUGAAGACCAAUGAUUUCAUUUGGGCUCUAACACCAUACAGUAAAGUCUUCAGCAUGAGGGGAGGGUGCUCCUUACUCCCAGCCAUAUGCAUUACUUAUACCAAGCUUUAGAAAAACCUAUUUUCAUAGAAUUGCAUACUGGUUUGGGUUGGAAGGGGCCUUAAAACUCAUCCAGUUCCAACCCCCUGCCAUGGGCAGGGACACCUUCCACUAGAGCAGGUUGCUCCAAGUCCUGUCCAACCUGGCAGUUUUAACAAUGAAAGUUCCAGGUUCACUCAUGGGAACGUACUGAGGUGACUGUGACCUGCAGGGACACAACCUGUCCCCAGCACCCCAGUGUUAGACAGAUGGAGCAUCCCAACUCUCCAUGCUUGGGGACACAGGAAGCCUAUCACUCCCCGCCAGCUCCUCUGAAGCCCCGUGUCUGGCCUGUGUUUGACGAGACCACAGCUCAUGUGGUUUACUGAGCAGGCACCUCACCCACGUGAGCAUCUCCACCAUAGCUACGGAUGCAAAUAAAUGCCCGCUGUAGACAGUUGCUCAGCCUAAAAAGAAAUGAGAGCCGUUUCUAGACGGGAAUAAAGCAUCACCCAAGCUUGGCCAGGCCCCUGCCACAUCCCCUUCUUGCUGGUGGCCAACCUCACAAAGAGGAAGUGUGCCAAGGAAGACCUUAAGCUGGUGAACACCAUCCCCGAGGGCAAUGGUAUGGCAGGAUCAUAGAAUCACAGGAUCACAAACUGGUGGAAAGGGACCUUAAAGCUCAUCCAGUUCCAACACCUUGCCACGGGCAGGGACACCUUCCACCACAAGGGAGGAUUCCAUCAGCAGAAGAGAUGCUCUUGUGCCUGCCCAGCCGCCCCAGGGGUCUCCUCCAGUCCCACCGUGGAGGUGCAGAGUGCCCCUGCUCCCGGUGCCCAUCCCUAUGGGAUGGGGGAUAAUUAACCCCUGAUAGUAUUUCUUACCACGCGCCUUCCCACAGGCUCCCAGUUGCUGCGAUGCCAGUGGUGCUUCCCAAAUACUAAUCAGGAACAAACACUAAUGAUGAAACAUGCUACAGGUUCGACAUACCCACGCAAAGGUCAGGCGUGAGCAUGGGAUUCCACUGGAAAACCAAGGCGGGCAUGAUCCCUCUGCUCUUGUCAUUCCACUCCUGACUUCACCCGGGGCCCCUCUCUACGACGAUUUCAAUUCUCUUUGUAUUGGCAGGAGAAUUAUUUUCCUUUAACUUCUUUUUUUCUUUUUUUUUUGCUUGGUCUUGCGAACAGUGGUUCUGGGUUUCCUCAAACUUUCCCCCAAACUCUUACCUGGGGCAGACAAAGUUGCAGCACAGAGGUAAAAACUGUAAGUAGGCAAAUAACAGUAAUAAUAAAAUCAUUAUAUAAGUCUAGAAAUUAUUCUCAUUCGGUUGCAUUGUAUUUACUUCUUGUCUACUGUUUAUUAUCUUAUUCCUUGGAGCAGGACUUUGGACAAGGGCCUGUAGGGACAGGACAA